rnacentral:rRNA from 1 species
AUUUGGAGAGGAUGCUUUUGGCGCGGCGCCGUCCGAGUUCCUUGGAACAGGACGCCACAGAGGGUGAGAGCCCCGUACGGACGGACGCCUAGCCUCUACAAAGCUCCUUCGACGAGUCGAGUAGUUUGGGAAUGCUGCUCAAAAUGGGAGGUAAAUUUCUUCUAAAGCUAAAUACCGGCCAGAGACCGAUAGCGCACAAGUAGAGUGAUCGAAAGAUGAAAAGCACUUUGAAAAGAGGGUUAAAAAGUACGUGAAAUUGUUGAAAGGGAAGCGCCUGUGACCAGACUUGCGCCCCGUGGACCAUCCGGCGUUCUCGCCGGUGCACUCUGCGGGGCGCAGGCCAGCAUCGGUUCUCCUAGGGGGAUAAAGGCCGCGGGAACGUAGCUCCUUCGGGAGUGUUAUAGCCCGCGGCGGCAUGCCCCUGGGGGGACCGAGGACCGCGCUUCGGCAAGGAUGCUGGCGUAAUGGUCACCAGCGACCCGUCUUGAAACACGGACCAAGGAGUCAAGCAUUGGGGCGAGUGUAUGGGUGCCAAACCCGCACGCGAAAUGAAAGUAAACGCAGGUGAGAGCUUCGGCGCAUCAUCGACCGAUCCUGAUGUCUUCGGAUGGAUUUGAGUAAGAGCCUUACCGCUUGGACCCGAAAGAUGGUGAACUAUGCCUGAAUAGGGUGAAGCCAGAGGAAACUCUGGUGGAGG